rnacentral:rRNA from 1 species
GCCAGCAGCCGCGGUAAUUCCAGCUCCAAUAGCGUAUAUUAAAGUUGUUGCAGUUAAAAAGCUCGUAAUUGAAUUUCGGGAUCAAUUUAUCGGUCGUGCCAAUGGUAUGAACUGGUACAAUUGGUUUCUCCCUUCUGACGAAGCAUGAUGUCAUUAAUUUGGUGUCGUGGGGAAUCAGGACUGUUACUUUGAAAAAAUUAGAGUGUUUAAAGCAAGCAUUAGCUUGAAUACAUUAGCAUGGAAUAAUGAAAUAGGACGUUUGAUCCUAUUUCGUUGGUUUCUAGGAUCGACGUAAUGAUUAAUAGGGAUAGUUGGGGCAUUAGUAUUCAAUUGUCAGAGGUGAAAUUCUUGGAUUUAUUGAAGACUAACUACUGCGAAAGCAUUUGCCAAGGAUGUUUUCAUUAAUCAAGAACGAAAGUUAGGGGAUCGAAGACGAUCAGAUACCGUCGUAGUCUUAACCAUAAACUAUGCCGACUAGGGAUCGGAUGAUGUUAAUUUUUUAAUGACUCAUUCGGCGCCUUACGGGAAACCAAAGUGUUUGGGUUCCGGGGGGAGUAUGGUCGCAAGGCUGAAACUUAAAGGAAUUGACGGAAGGGCACCACCAGGGGUGGAGCCUGCGGCUUAAUUUGACCCAACACGGGGAAACUCACCAGGUCCAGACAUAGUAAGGAUUGACAGAUUGAGAGCUCUUUCUUGAUUCUAUGGGUGGUGGUGCAUUGCCGUUCUUAGUUGGUGGAGUGAUUUGUCUGGUUAAUUCCGAUAACGAACGAGACCUUAACCUGCUAAAUAGCUAGGCUUAGCAUUGCUAGGUCGUCAGCUUCUUAGAGGGACUAUCGGUGUUUAACCGAUGGAAGUUUGAGGCAAUAACAGGUCUGUGAUGCCCUUAGAUGUUCUGGGCCGCACGCGCGCUACACUGAUGAAGUCAACGAGUUCACUCCCUUUGUCGGAAGACAUGGGUAAUCUUUUGAAACUUCAUCUUGCUGGGGAUAGAGCAUUGCAGUUAUUGCUCUUAAACGAGGAAUCCCUAGUAAGUACAAGUCAUCAGCUUGUGCUGAUUACGUCCCUGCCCUUUGUACACACCGCCCGUCGCUACUACCGAUUGAAUGGCUUAGUGAGGACUUCGGAUUGAGCUUCGGAAGCUGUAAAAGGCAUCCGAUUUUUAAAAAGUUGUUCAAACUUGGUCAUUUAGAGGAAGUAAAAGUC